GGCGGGUACUGGGGCGGGGAGGGGCGGGGCCUGAGGGAAAGCCGGAAGCGGGUUCGCUGUAAAGGAGGUGGAGGUGACGCAGCCUCUGAGCUCCCAGUUUUCUCCAGUUUCUGGAGCCUCCGCCGGCUGGCUCGCUUCCUAGGACGGGCGGACACUCCCUGGCACUCCCACCCGGCCGCGGUGAGGAGGAGCCUCCAGCCCCCGCAGCCCCCCGAGGGUUCUCGGCAGUAGAGCCCCAGGGGCCCUCCAUUCCCCGAGGGCGAGAGCUCCCGGGCGUCGCGGCUGCACACCAGGACCAGUUCUUGACCUGAGGGCGCCCUGACGCUGCCGGCACAAACACUUGCUUGACACGCAGUGGGUUUGGAUGCUUUGCCCAUGACAGCGGCUUCCACAUCCAAGUUCCCAUCCUUGAAGUGGAGCCGGCAGAUACAGCCCUACCGAGUCUCCGGGGCUGUCCCCCGGCGCCCCACCCCCGCCCUAGCUGAGAAAGUGAUGCAGUGUAUGAAAAACUGCUUUGAUGGGAAAUAAAGCCCCGUGUUUUGUCAGCUGUCGAUGACUUGAGAGCCGUAUUAAAUGCUUUGCAAUAAAAUAGAGGUUUAAAUGAAUGAGUAAAAA